rnacentral:rRNA from 1 species
GACGAACGCUGGCGGCGUGCCUAAUACAUGCAAGUAGAACGCACAGUUUAUACCGUAGCUUGCUACACCAUAGACUGUGAGUUGCGAACGGGUGAGUAACGCGUAGGUAACCUGCCUGGUAGCGGGGGAUAACUAUUGGAAACGAUAGCUAAUACCGCAUAAUAUUAAUUAUUGCAUGAUAAUUAAUUGAAAGGUGCAAUUGCACCACUACCAGAUGGACCUGCGUUGUAUUAGCUAGUAGGUGAGGUAACGGCUCACCUAGGCGACGAUACAUAGCCGACCUGAGAGGGUGAUCGGCCACACUGGGACUGAGACACGGCCCAGACUCCUACGGGAGGCAGCAGUAGGGAAUCUUCGGCAAUGGACGAAAGGCUGAACGAGCAACGCCGCGUGAGUGAAGAAGGUUUUCGGAUCGUAAAGCUCUGUUGUAAGAGAAGAACGGGUGUGAGAGUGGAAAGUUCACACUGUGACGGUAUCUUACCAGAAAGGGACGGCUAACUACGUG